rnacentral:rRNA from 1 species
AGUGAACGCUGGCGGUAUGCCUAAUACAUGCAAGUCGAACGGCAGCACAGUAAGAGCUUGCUCUUACGGGUGGCGAGUGGCGGAUGGGUGAGGCAUACAUCGGCGUCUACUUUUUCGUGGGUGAUAACGUAGGACAACUUACGCUAACACCGCAUACUAUCUACGGGUGAAAGCAGGGGAUCUUCGCACUUUUCCUGUCUCAAAGAGCCGAAGUCGGAUUAGCUAGUUGACUAGGUAAAGGCCCACCAAGGCGACGAUGCGUAGCUGGUCUGAGAGGAUGAUCAGCCACACUGGAACUGAGACACGGUCCAGACUCCUACGGGAGGCAGCAGUGGGGAAUAUUGCGCAAUGGGCGCAAGCCUGAUGCAGCCAUACCGCGUGAGUGAAGAAGGCCUUCGGGUUGUAAAGCCCUUUUAUUGGGGAAGAAAAGCUGCGGAUUUAUACCCCGAUGUUCUGACGGUACCCAAAGAAUAAGCACCGGCUAACUUCGUG